GCUUCGGUCCAGUUGGAGAUAGUAUUAGUUUCGGUGCAAGAUAGUUGCAUGGUUUGUGCCCAGUGCACCAUAGGCUCAGAAAUCGUUGUGGAAGUUCCUGAUGGUACUCCUAGGUGAAGAGGCUGAAGUGAAAGCUCGGUUCGGUCUGUUUGGAGAUAGUGCUAAUCUUGAUGAAAGAUAGGUGCACGGUUUACAUGGAACGUACCGUAUUCUCAGAAAUCAAUUUUGACGCACCCGAUAGAACUCCUAGAUCAUGUGUGUCAUAUGGAAUCUCGCUUCAAUCUGUUUGGAGACAGUUUAGG
rnacentral:lncRNA from 1 species